CAGUCGCCACGGUAAUACGAAGGGUGCAAGCGUUACUCGGAAUUACUGGGCGUAAAGCGUGCGUAGGUGGUGGUUUAAGUCCGUUGUGAAAGCCCUGGGCUCAACCUGGGUAUUGCAGUGGAUACUGGAUCACUAGAGUGUGGUAGAGGAUAGUGGAAUUUCCGGUGUAGCAGUGAAAUGCGUAGAGAUCGGAAGGAACAUCUGUGGCGAAGGCGACUAUCUGGGCCAACACUGACACUGAGGCACGAAAGCGUGGGGAGCAUACAGGAUUAGAUACCCCAGUAGUCCCUGUCUCUUAUAC
rnacentral:rRNA from 1 species